rnacentral:rRNA from 1 species
UGGGGAAUUUUGGACAAUGGGCGAAAGCCUGAUCCAGCAAUGCCGCGUGAGUGAAGAAGGCCUUCGGGUUGUAAAGCUCUUUUGUCAGGGAAGAAACGGUGUGGGCUAAUAUCCUGCACUAAUGACGGUACCUGAAGAAUAAGCACCGGCUAACUACGUGCCAGCAGCCGCGGUAAUACGUAGGGUGCAAGCGUUAAUCGGAAUUACUGGGCGUAAAGCGUGCGCAGGCGGUUUUGUAAGUCUGAUGUGAAAUCCCCGGGCUCAACCUGGGAAUUGCAUUGGAGACUGCAAGGCUAGAAUCUGGCAGAGGGGGGUAGAAUUCCACGUGUAGCAGUGAAAUGCGUAGAGAUGUGGAGGAACACCGAUGGCGAAGGCAGCCCCCUGGGUCAAGAUUGACGCUCAUGCACGAAAGCGUGGGGAGCAAACAGGAUUAGAUACCCUGGUAGUCCACGCCCUAAACGAUGUCUACCAGUUGUCGGGUUUUAAUUAACUUGGUAAC